AGUGAACGCUGGCGGUAAGCCUAACACAUGCAAGUCGAACGGCAGCACAGUAAGAGCUUGCUCUUACGGGUGGCGAGUGGCGGACGGGUGAGGAAUACAUCGGAAUCUACUUUUUCGUGGGGGAUAACGUAGGGAAACUUACGCUAAUACCGCAUACGACCUACGGGUGAAAGCAGGGGAUCUUCGGACCUUGCGCGAUUGAAUGAGCCGAUGUCGGAUUAGCUAGUUGGCGGGGUAAAGGCCCACCAAGGCGACGAUCCGUAGCUGGUCUGAGAGGAUGAUCAGCCACACUGGAACUGAGACACGGUCCAGACUCCUACGGGAGGCAGCAGUGGGGAAUAUUGGACAAUGGGCGCAAGCCUGAUCCAGCCAUACCGCGUGGGUGAAGAAGGCCUUCGGGUUGUAAAGCCCUUUUGUUGGGAAAGAAAAGCAGCAGGUUAAUACCCCGCUGUUCUGACGGUACCCAAAGAAUAAGCACCGGCUAACUUCGCG
rnacentral:rRNA from 1 species